UUUCGCGGGCACUCUGUUGCGUGGUCUUGAGCACUUUCAUAUAUGUAGCCGAUAUUGUUGAGGCGAUAGUAGGGUCGGUCAGGGUCGGUCUCCCUGAUUCUUGCCACAGUACUGACAAGUCCUACUGCGUUCUAUUGCAAGAGCCUGAGAAAGAGAUUAAGUCAUAGGCCUAGGUCUUUUGUUCUACUGAAUCAAUGCAAUAAGUGUUGGUCUGCGGUGUGGAACUAAGGGUCUGGAACUACCCACUGCUAGAGGGAAGAUACGAAUGUUCCUAUCUAUUAGUUGUGGCUUAGCCAGAACUACUAAUUAGGUGUUGAGCUCGAAUACAUACAACUGUUGUCUUAUCUCACGGAGGCCCCACUCAAACUUCCUUACCUUUCUGCCUUCAUCCAUCAUACUCUCAGGAGAGUACUGACCCAACUUUAAGAACUUUCGGGCAUAUUCUGAUACUAUCAUGUCACAUUGGACAAGGUGUGUAAACUCUAUUUUCUUCAAAUACUGAAGAUACUCCAGGAGGUACUCUGCAUUGAAGGCUACCAAAAAUUGUUUCCAAGUGAUUGGAAUGGAUAGGGUGGCCUCCUUCAACUGCCACCAUCGUCCUACCUCACCCACGAGCAUGUAGGUGACAAGUACAACCUUCUGUUCGGGAACCACCACAAGAGUUAUCAAGGCUUUCUCUGUCUUUGCUGAUCAGUACUCGAUCUCUUCGAAUGAGUAUGUCUCUGCAAAAGUAGAUGGAUUUAGUCUUCUGUAUCUCUCAAUGUAAUAUGUGUCUAUCAUGAGUGGAACAGGAUGUCGUUAAAGUGACUGAAUUGUGCUAAGGAGGGACCGGGUGGUCCUAUGGCAGUACCUAGUUGUAUGGUGGGGGCAUCGGAUUAUACUAUGGCGGUGUCGGAUGAUAUAGUGGAGGAGUAAGACUGUAUUAGGGUGGCACCAGAUCUUUUUAUUACAGAGGUGGCUCAAACUGUCGUAGUGGUGGAGGGUCAAAC
rnacentral:lncRNA from 1 species